AAGCUUUCAUAUUUGGAAUGCAAUCUUUCCUUCCUUCUCACGAAAUUAUUUGUUGUCUUUGGUUCCUUUUACUUUCAAUUUAUUAAUUUCCAGCUUGUCACCAACCUACACCACUUACAUUUUCUUUUUCAAACCCUUCUCAUUCCCAGUAGGCUAAAACCAUUCCAUAUCCAAUUAAAAAUUCCAGCCACAUACUUAAACCACCCACUUUUUACCCAUUUAUACCCUAUUUCAUUUAUCUAACCCUCUUCAGAUAUGCCCAACUCCCAUAUGCCCUAAACUUUAGCCAAGUAAACCCAUUCCAGCUUUAGGUCGAUGUUAACUUCGUCAAGACCCGUGAGUUAUGAACCCAAGUACUUUAACUCCUAUUCCAGUAUUUAUUAUUUCUCUAGAUUAAGAGUAUGAUUUCGUCAACUCACAAAGUCAAAUCAACACCAAGUCAAAAAAGACGUCGUUUGAGUUAGUGUGGUUAGACAUACAGUUGGAAUUUCGAAAGGAUUGAUUGUCUAAUCGGUUUUCUGUGAACACAUUGGCGUGCCAAGUGGGGAUUUUUGUUUGGUUCCGUCAAGGGAAGUAGUAACCAGAUUUAAAUGUCCCACGCGGUUGAGGGCAUUGGUUCGAGCUAGGCUGUUUUAGAACGUAAAGCUGUCGGAGUUUUAAAUCACGAACGUUUCGUAGGUUAUUCGAUCAACAAGGGUUAGUUAUAGAACGUUCCAUAACUAAUUUACACAAGGAAGAGUUGGUGUCCGAGGCAUCUUUGGUAGCUAUAGCUAGCUUAUUGGAAAAGAUGAGUUCAUCUAAUUUCGAAGAUCGGUUCAAGGACGAAAAACCCGUGCUUGAAGCUGAGCUAAAUUUAAUUGAUUUUCCUUCAAAUUUACUUAACUAUUCUUCUUAUUUAAUUGUCUUCAGCUUUUACUUUUUACACAUUUUUUCUCUGUUUAUUUCAGGUUUCAAAUUUUAUCCCCCCAAACUUCUUGGGCACGACAACUGCCCAGACAUAAAUCUGGUCGAGAGAGAAAUAAUUUUCAGUAAACCCAGUCUCUGAGGGAUCGACCCUACUCCCUAUACUACUCAAAUUUACAAAUUAGGUGUAGGAUUAUAUUGGUGGAAUCGACAACCAUCAACUAGUUCCAUUUAAACCACAUGCUCAACAAUUUGUAGAGGUAUGAACCCACUUUUGAGUGUCUUCCAUUGCUUGGUCCCUAGGGGUGAUCUACCUACACAUAAAAGAUCACAUCCUUUAUCAUAAUAAUGUCAUCUAACCAUGGUUAAUAUCACUAGUGCCAUCCCUUUUCUUGCAUUGAUGAGAAGUUCCUCAAUUCUGUUCUCUUUUGGCAUAACGAUUUUGGGGUUGACAUGUAGUUUGUAGACCUCAAGCACGAUUUCUCUAAUAGUGUGUAGUUUGUAGGAACUAGUGAGUUAUAUUGUAUCUCCUUUGCAUCAAGGUUCUACCAUUAACGUUAGUUAAAGUGCAAGCAAUACCAAAGCCAACAUUUCCUUUUGUCCAAGCUAAUAGGCAACAAUCAAGGCUUACCUAUUCCUUCCUUUCUCAUUGAUCAAAGUGUUUUUUUCAUUGUAAAACCUGUUGUAACGACUUGGUUUUUAGUGGUGUUGGAAAAUACAGUUUUGGAACCCCGUCUUCGUAAAAUGAACCCAUAAAUAUUUUUAUUAAAUAUUUAUAGAGUUAUAUUAUAGGUGAAUUAAAUUUUGGAUAAAUAUUUUUUUCUGAAUUAAUAGUUAACUAGAGUUCAAUGACUAAAUUGUAAAAUUCAAUCACUAUAGAUUUUUAAUUAGAAAAAUGAAUUAAAGACUUAACCUGUAACUAACUAAAGGCCUAAAAAAUCAAUUAGACCAUGCUUAAAUAAAUGUUAGUGGACGGUUGAUUAAAUGGGGGCAUUAGUGUAACAACUUAAUUUUCAGUGGUGCCGAAAAAAGCAGUUUUGGAACUCUAUUUUUAAUGUUUAAGUCUGUAAAUAUUAUUAUUUAAUAUUUAUGAGGUUAGUAUAAAGGUUAAUUAAAGUUUGGUCCUUUAAUUUUGUCAAUUGGAUAGUUAAUUAAGAUACAAUGACUAAAUUAUAAAAGUGGCAAAAGUUGUUCGCUAUGAAUUUUUAAUUAAUUGGAUGACCAAUUGAGCAAUUGGAUCCUUCCAAUUAUGUUAAAUGGUGGUGGAUGACAAUUGUACUUAAGGGUGAGUGUUCGAUCGUAUUGAAUCGAAUUGAAUGAAAAAAUUUCGAGUUAAUCGAGUUGAUAAAUCGUAUUAAUACGAUUUGAAAUUUUAUCAUCCUAACUCGAUUUGAAAUUUUCUCGGAUCGAGUCAAGUGAGAUGGAAUUCGAAUCAAAUCAAAUAUAUUUGUUCGAGUUAAAUUUUAAAAAAUAACUUUGGUCUUUUUUUUUGGAAUUAUAAAGUACUAGGUUAGCCAAGAAAAUUGUUUAAACCAUGGUGGUUGAAAAUAAUGAAGAUAUUUUUAAAAAAAAUUAGAAGCGGAUAAUCUAAAAGAAUAGGUUGGUAUGACCCAACUUUAAUAUAAGCUCUCUGAAUUUCAUCAUGCAUAUUAACUUGAUACUCAUUUAUUUGCUUACAUAAUCCAAGAUCACAUUCUAAGUUGGACAAAUCAAGUGUUUGAUCUUCAACUGUAGGAAUUUUAGAAGGACAAGCCUUAAAAAGAGUAAACCAUGAAGGUGAUACCUUAAUUUUUUACACUUGGAGGAUGAAAAUAAAAUUAAUAAAUAAAAAGUAAUCACUCACUAAUUAUUUUUUUAAACAAUAUAGGUUCUAACCAUAUAAUGCUCUUUUUAAGAUAAAGCAUAGAACUAUCCAUAGCGCUUCUCCAACCCACAAAUAGAAGGAUAAUAUGCUUCAACACACUCAAACCCACGUCAUCCUGUAUUAACAACAAUGUCCAACAAUCACUCACUAAAUUUAAAUAUAAAACUAUUAAAAAUUUUGAUACUAACUUAUUAAUAAGAAAGGAUAAUAACAAAUUCCAGAGAAUUAUAUAUUUGAUGAUAAAAAAAACAAUAAAAAAUGGGAAAGUAGAAAUCUAACCAUAGUAAAAAGAUAAAAUAAAUAAAUGACGGAAAAAAUCGAUGAUUCAAUGUUAAUUUAAACAAUUUAUACAUCAUUUUAAUCUAUAUUAUAUUUGAGAUUUUAAUUGAGUUAGUGUUAUCCAUUAAUAAUUCAAUCUUUCAAUUACUAAAAAUUCCUUAUAAACAAUCUAACAUCUAUAAAUCCGCUUGCGCUAAUAAAUUUGUGGGACUCAUUGUAUAUAAGAGAAUAGCUUAUAUUAAGAUAAUCAUAAAAUAUAUAGUUUUUAGGUACCAAUAAAAUAAUGUCACAUCAUCAAUUUUUAAAGACAUAAAUAUUAUUCUACACUCAAUCAUAUACGAUAUCAUCUCUAAUUUAAUUUAACUUUAAUUAAAACAAUUAAAAUUUGGAGGAAGUUGAAACUAUAUACCAAGAAAAAACAUAACCAAAAAUAAAUAAAAUUUGAAAAUAUUAAAAAUUUAAAAAAAAACUGAUAAAAGUCAUAAGAACAAAUUGAACCAUUAAAAAUCUAGAAAAGAAAAACACUAGUAAAAAUGAAAAUUUGAAAAAAUUAUAACCACCAUUGAUGGAUUUUUCAAAAUUUGAAAUUUGAUUAAAAUUAAAAAAGAAAAAAAAAUGUAUCUGCCUAAAAUUUAAAAGAAUUAAAAAUAAAAUUGGCAGCAUAAAAAUAAAACACGAUUUGAAAGCAAACAAAGCCUAAAUAUCGAACUCUAUCAAAGUAUGGGGACUGAUAGGAUAUUUUAACCAAAUAAAAAUGAUUUUUUUUCCGUAGGUUGAAAUAUUUGUCUUUUAGGAAUCUAUUUUAUGAAUUUAAGAAAUGGGUUUCAUGCAUGAAUGGCUAUAUUAAAACGUGGUACAUAGUUUUUAUACAAGGAUAACCAUGUGAAAUAAUUGGCCCAUUGUGAUUAUGGGGACAUGUGGUCUCUAUCGACGCCAAACAGGCAAACAAAAAGAAACAUUGAACUCUUUGUAAAAGACGGCCAUUACUAUUGCUAUCCUUAGUCCUACACAGGAUUGCUAUUUAAGUGAUUAAUGUCUUUUUGGUAACGGUUAUAAUACAAAGGAUAGAAGUUGGGAAAUAAACAAAAAUCAUGCAUGUAUAAGGUUAAAUAAAUUAAAUUGAUGAAUGUGUGGUGUUAUAUUUGAGGAAAGAGUUUAUGUUUAAUGUAUUGAUUGUAUUUGUAUUGUUAUAUUCAAGUUUCUGCAUCAUCCAAUAUUUCAAGAUAAAGUUUAGUACAAUUUGAUCUCUUCAAAACUUUAGUCUUAAUCUCGAGCAUGAUGUUAUAUGAAAUAGGCUCAUGCAAUCCUUAUAAGAUAUAUAAAGAAGAGCACACUUACUUGUAUAGCUGUUGAUACUUAUAAUAAAUAAAUAGAGCCUACUCAAAAAUAUAAAUUUAGUAGAUGGUAGUGAGUAGGGUUGUAUCUACAGAGACUGGUGAUAAUUUUAUUUCGUUAAUAAUAACAAAUCAAGUAAAAAAAAGGUUUUUGAAAUUAAAAAUUAAAAUUAUGUAAAAUGAAAACAAUUAAAAUUAAAGGAAAAUCAAUGAGAUGAAGCUCUAGUAAAAGGUAAAACCUCUCCAUUUGGUUUACUAGUUUCAUUAUCGAUGCAAAGAUAAUUUCAAUAUUCUUUAGUUGUCAACGUCACUCCUAGCAACCACUCUCUCCUUAGCUUGUUGAUAACCAAGAAGAAACUUGUUGGAAUUAUUCCCUUUAUCAAUAAACAACCCUAUAACUUAUGCCUAGUAUUUAGCUUACUGAUAGCAUUAAGAAUGAGAGAGACAUAACUCUAACUAACAAACACACACAAGCAAUAAUUAUUUAGAUUAGAUGGCAUGUCCGCACAACAUAGAUUGCAUACACAUAGCUUAUAUCCAAUUAUGUUGUUUUUCACAAGCAUUAGAAUCAAUUAAAAAAUUAUGGGUUUAACUAUUCUAAAUGACAAGACAAAUAUUCUAAGUUACCAAAUAUGGGUCAUACACUUAACACAUCCGAAUAUUUGUAAUUAAAUCAGAAAACAUGAAAAUACUAGAAAAAAAUUAGAUGAAGAGCAAUUAGAUUUCACAAGCUUUUAGAGUCAAACUUUAAAGUUCAUUUGACUAGAAAAGAGAGUUUAGCAAUCCGAAUGCAAAAAAUAAUGAAAAUUGCAAUAAGAUUAAAGUUGGUCAAAAGUAAAAUUUGUCUCCCAACCCUCUACUAAAAGAUCUUGUUUAUAAAGUUUAAUUGACCUAGAUUAGGUUUACACGCUUCUGUGAGCUAAAAGUCUUGAAAAAAGACGAAAACACACUUACUUUUCAGAGUUGGAAUGGUUAAUUUUGCCUCACAAACAAGCGUCGGUGCUAGGGCUCACCAAGACUUUCACCCAGCACCAAAUCCUUUCAUCAAACUAGGUCAUGGCUCCAACUCUCUAAGUUGCAAUCAAAUGUCCCUCCUUCCUUAUUCCAGCGUUUUGCUUGGUUUAAACUCCAUACUUUGCUUCCAAUGGUUCCCGAAUUCCAUCCCAAGCUUGGAUGCACCUGAUUAAAGUCUUAAAAUACCUAAUUAAUUAACAAAUACUAAAUCAUAUAAAAUUAAAGCGUAAAUAAUUAAAAAUGCUAAUGUAUGCAAAUGUGACACUAAACAUGCAAAUUAAGCUAGGACAUGAUGUUUUACUUGAGAAUCAAUGAAAAGUAAAGUAAUAAGGACCUAACAUAUAUGAAUUAUGAGUAGUUAUCACAAAUACUGUCAAUCCAUCACCUUUUCAUUUCCGACGUCUCUCCACCUAGUUACCUCACAUUAACUAAAAUAGUAAUCCUAGCUGACAACCUACCAAUGUAUCGUUUGUACUUAGGAGGUAGUGUACUUGAUGACUAAGACCCAUACCAAGCCACUCAUUAUACGAUCACAUUGUAAGAACUCUCUCCCAACCUCUAGAUAUCCUAAACCUUCAUCAUCAGUGGCUCUCCACGCCACAUAUGGUGUGAACCACUAUAAUUGUAACAUCCCUAACACCCCUUAAGUAGGGAAUAAUAUUAUUUCAAGAAUAUACGUGUUAGAAUUUUUGAAGUAAAUAAAAUAGGAAUUAUUAGUGUUAGUAGAAGGUAGUUGAAGACUAGUGGGAAUUGAAAAGACUAAUAUAUUGGAAGAAAUUAAUCUAGAGUAUAGACUAAAUUGUAAUAGUGUGAAAAGUGUUAGGGAAAAAGUAUGAAAAUCAAAAGUGUAAAUGAUUGAAUUGAAUAGAGUGGAAAUGGGGGAAGGACUAGGAGUGUAAUUAUAACAUGAGAAUGUCAUGAAUUAUUGAGGGAAUUGUAGAGGAAGUUCAAUGACAAAAUAGUCGAUACAUAAAUAAGUAUUUAUGAGAAAAAAAUCUUAUAAAUUAGUGGAAAAUUUUGAGCCAUUGGAUGAAAUUAGAAAUUGAGAACAAACAUGGGCCAUUAGAUGAAUAUUAUGAUGUUGGGAUUAUUUUAUUAUAUUCUUAUAAUUUAAUUAUUUAAUUAAUAGAUUUUUAUGAUGGAAAAAUGUAGAAUUUUCCAUCAUUUUUCCUCCAUUCUCACACCACCUUCAUUCAUGUAUGAAGGAAACUUUCAUUUUAUUCCAUUUUAGUCCUUUUCACCAUAUUCAAUUAUUCCAAACUCAAUUUCUUCCAUAGACUCUUAGUGAAAUCAAUAAAGCAACCUUAUAGUAACCUUAGUUUCAUGUAGAGACAAAUGAUGUUCAUCUUGGUGGAGAGAGAAAACUUAAGUUAGGGUUUAGUAUAAAAGACUAAGGUAAGGAUGAUAAGGUUUCUUUAUGAAUUUCAUGUUUUUUUUAAUCAAAAGUUCUUAAAAAAUGAUAUGUGGUAAUUGUUUUGAUACUAAAUCUCACGUAUAUGUGAUAUGUUGAUGAAAAAAAAGAGAAGAGAGGUGAUCAACAAAGCCUUGUGAUACGGGGUUGCGCGCGGACCAAGAUCGAGUUGCCAAGUCACGAGAAACUCCUACGAAAACUCUAAACAAUUAGAUCUGAAACGAAACAGAAAAUUAAAAGAUUAGAUUUUUAAAUUUUCAGAUCUGAAAUAAAAUCCCCAAAACCAGUAAAGAAUCAAAUAGAGAAUAGAAAUAAGUGUUAAUAAGGAAUCUUGAAACCCUAGAAGAGAUUGCGAUUCUGCCCAAUUGAACACCCAGAUAGUUUUCCCCAAAUUUCGACAAUCUAAUUUCUCCCAAAAAGAGUAUGGAUGAAUCGGCAAGAACCCUAGAAAUUGGGGAUUUUUGGGCUAAUUCCUUAAGAUAGAAAAAGGCUGAAAACACAAUAAGAACAGAAAAUAAAUUAGAUAAAGAUUCGGCACAAGCAGAAAUAAAGAAAGAAUUGACAAUAAGAAAUUAAAAGAUAAGUCCUAAGAAGCCUUGAAAUCUCGAAAGAUCUCACAACUCCCUUCAAACGGCUCUAAUCUCCCCUCCAAAGAAUAUCAAUGGCAAGAAGAAGGUUGAAGAUGGCUCCCACAAUCACAAGAUUGUUAAAACAACUUCUAAAGAAAACUCAAGAGAGAAAUCUUGGAGAAAACUCAAAGAAAAUUCUGCUCUCAACAAAUCUGAAAUUUUAAUAAUAAUGAUAAGUGUUUAACAAGGUGGACAGCCAUGCCUUUAAAUAGGCAUUAUAACUAGUCCUAAUCUAAUUAGAAAACUAAAAUAAAAAAAACUCCUAAUUAUUUUAAUAUGGAAAUUCGGUCAAAGGUCAUUUUAUCUGGGACUCUUGGACUGAAUAUUGACAUAAAAAUUUAAACUAAGUAAAUAAAUAAAUAAAUAAAUAAAAAUAAAAAUAAAACUUUACAACUUGGGCCACUUUGACAAUUUGGCCUGAUUUUCAACUAAGUAUGGAUAGAUUUCUUGAUUGGGCUGGGAAUUUGCUUAUUGGGCCUCGCCUUCAAGAAUUUGGGCUUUUGUGACUCGUAUCAUUCCCCCCUUCCUCAAAAAGAUUCGUCCUCGAAUCUGAAAAAUCAAAUGAACUCGACUUUCCUCUAUCGAACGGGACUAAUGGCAAUUGAGUCCACUGAAAAGAAUAGCCAUGAGAUAGUAAAUAGCAACGGAAACAAGCUUGUAGUCCAAUCAUAAGCAUAACAGAACAGGUAUAACGCAUGUGAAUGGACAGAUUCAGAUUACCAUGCAAACAAUCUAAUUUACUCACCACUGCCUCGUCAAAUAUUUGAAACAAAGAUGGACAUGUUUUAAGGCAUUCAGUCGUCUCACAUUGUUCCCACAAACCAUGAAUAAAUUGCGAGUAAUAAAUCAAAUGGUAAACAUAAUCGUCACAAGUAGGUAUUUGAAAAGAUUCACAUGGUUCACAGAGUUGCAUAAUCAUACCAUGCAUUAAUCGACGGUCUAUAGAUUCACUCACACAUGCAUUAUCAAAAACAAGAAUCUUUUUAUCAACCAUCAAAAUAGAUAGAUCAUCAAUAAAUAAAAUAGGACAGUCAAGCACGUUUCGAUCUAAGUGUUCAUCAACACGAUCUUUAUCACUAUCCGAGGAGUACAAAAGUGUUUCAAAGGUUUCAAGCAUCUUACCUCGAUAAGCAGAAGAAUAAGGGUUGAUUUUACCUUUUUCAUUUAAAACAAACCUUCGCUCAUCGGGGGCAUAGUGUAGUCGAAUCUUCGUUGUUGAGUUAACGUUUGUCAAAUGGAACUCAAACUUCAUGUACAACCACAUAAACUGUUUAAGGCACGAAUAUAAAUUGAAAACAAAUUUGGAAAAUUUCGUUACCUUAUUCUCCAAAACAGAUUUGGACAAAUUCGAGGAUUUUACACAAGGUAAAUCAAGAGAAUAACAAAUUACGCUUCUUUUCGUAAGGACUUUAUCAACCACAAUCGAAGAGUAACAAUUAAUCGGAUCAAAAUGAGGGGAUCUUUUAAGAACUAAGUCACCAAAAGUUUUAUCAAUAAUUUUCAAAUCUGCACUGGACUCGGUUUCUAAAAUUUCCUUACCUCGCUUACCUUCGGGAUCAUGUAGUGUGAUUUCAUCUUUGCUUAAGUUGAUCGUAUGAAAGCGUCUUUCAUUUGAGAGGUAUUGAAGUUGAAAGUUAUCUUUCGAUCUUUCGGGAACCUGAAAAGUAGCAAUACAAGAAAAAUUCAUAUCUUGGUUAGUGGAAACAUUCCUCACUAGCCUUUCCUCGUCUUUUUCUUUUGUUUCUUUUUCUAACUCAUUUUCUCUUCUUUCUUCAACUUCUUUUUCAAUUUUCUUUUUUGUUUCACAUUCCUUUUCACUCUCAAUCUCUUUUUGCUCUUUUUCAUUCUCUUUUUCUUUUUCCUCACUUGUUUUAACAACAGAAUUUUUCAGUUUGAUUUGGUCCUCAUGGACUUGUUCCGGAGUGAGCGGCACUAAGGUGAUUUUCCUUCCUUGAUACUUGAAAGAAUACCUAUUGGUACGACCAUCGUGAGUGACUUUUCGAUCCAGUUGCCAUGGUUCUCCUAGCAACAAAUGGCAGGCUUGAAUAGGUACUACGUCGCACACGACUUCGUCUUGAUAUUUACCGAUAGAAAAGGCGAUGCGCACUUGUUGAGUGACCUUAAAUUGACUUUCGUUGCUAAGCCCUUGUAGUUGAUAAGGUCGUGGAUGCUUGGUAGUGCUUAAGCAAAGCUUUUCCACCAUCGUCGUGCUGGCUACGUUCGAGCAACUUUCACCAUCAAUAAUAACUCUACAAAGCUUACCUUGUACAUGGCAGCGAGUAUGAAAGAGAUGUUCUCGUUGCUGCUCGCUCUUUGGUUUUGCCAAAGAAGGUUGUCCACGAUCAUGAAAAUCAUCAUCCAUUCUAGGGACACGUUGAGGGUUGCACCUAUGGGGCUGGUUAUCCCUAUCUUCCUUAAUUGGAUCUCGAUAUUGAUGUUUUUGAUUCACUCGCACCUUAUUGAUAGUAGCAGUCAACGCUCGAAGUGCAACAGCCUGUUCGUCCAACUGUUGUUGGAAUUUUUUAAAUAUGUCACUAUUAUUAUCACAUGUAGACAUUUUUUUUUAAAACCUGCAAAACACUCAACACUCAAAAAUAAAAGUUAUCAAACCUCACCGUUAAUCACUCAAAAAGAAAAAAAUCAAAUUCUCAAUGAGGUCGAAUUCAAUCUUGUGAGUUCUUUAUCAGAGUUUAUAUCAACCAAUUAGAGAGUCUGAACCAAACUACCAAAGAAUCCUAAUUUGCACUAGGAUGCCAAAAACUGACGAGACACCAAUUGAUUCGUGUUGCACCGAGGAAGAAGUUGUGCACACGUUUAAAUCCUACUAACACAAGAAACAAGAAGGUGUUAGAUAACGUAAAGGAAGAAUAAAGGUAAACAAAUGAAAACCUACAGCUAAGAAUCAAUAAAAAUUGCUGAAAACAGAAAACCCGAAAACCUGCGGAGUAACUUGACAACUUCGUUCGAGGUGUUCCCGAUCUCAAAAAAUCACAAAAUUAAAUCUGGAAUGUCUUCAAAUAUUUAAUUUUUGAUCUGGAAAAUUUGGGCACCAAAUUCAACCCGCUGAAUAUUUUUUUAAUUUUUUAUUGGAUUUCGUCUUUUUUCAAUUUUUUGACUUUUUCGACUUAUUUUUUUUUGCGGUAAAUAUUUUUGUAUAUUCAAUAACAGUGCCAAAAAUAUGUAUGUAAAAUUUCAGAUCAAUCAGAAAACGUUUACCCACUCAAAUGAAUUUUUUUUCGAAAAUUUUUCUGGGUAAAACUGCUGUUUGUAAUUUAAAAAAUAGAGAUCAGUUUAGAAAUCAACCAAGAACACCCAAAACGCCCAAAAUCUGAUACCAAAUGAUACGGGGUUGUGCGCGGACCAAGAUCGAGUUGCCAAGUCACGAGAAACUCCUACGAAAACCCUAAACAAUUAGAUCUGAAACGAAACAGAAAAUUAAAAGAUUAGAUUUUUAAAUUUUCAGAUCUGAAAUAAAAUCCCCAAAACCAGUAAAGAAUCAAAUAGAGAAUAGAAAUAAGUGUUAAUAAGGAAUCUUGAAACCCUAGAAGAGAUUGCGAUUCUGCCCAAUUGAACACCCAGAUAGUUUUCCCCAAAUUUUGACAAUCUAAUUUCUCCCAAAAAGAGUAUGGAUGAAUCGGCAAGAACCCUAGAAAUUGGGGAUUUUUGGGCUAAUUCCUUAAGAUAGAAAAAGGCUGAAAACACAAUAAGAACAGAAAAUAAAUUAGAUAAAGAUUCGGCACAAGCAGAAAUAAAGAAAGAAUUGACAAUAAGAAAUUAAAAGAUAAGUCCUAAGAAGCCUUGAAAUCUCGAAAGAUCUCACAACUCCCUUCAAACGGCUCUAAUCUCCCCUCCAAAGAAUAUCAAUGGCAAGAAGAAGGUUGAAGAUGGCUCCCACAAUCACAAGAUUGUUAAAACAACUUCUAAAGAAAACUCAAGAGAGAAAUCUUGGAGAAAACUCAAAGAAAAUUUUGCUCUCAACAAAUAUGAAAUUUUAAUAAUAAUGAUAAGUGUUUAACAAGGUGGACAGCCAUGCCUUUAAAUAGGCAUUAUAACUAGUCCUAAUCUAAUUAGAAAACUAAAAUAAAAAAAACUCCUAAUUAUUUUAAUAUGGAAAUUCGGUCAAAGGUCAUUUUAUCUGGGACUCUUGGACUGAAUAUUGACAUAAAAAUUUAAACUAAGUAAAUAAAUAAAUAAAUAAAUAAAAAUAAAACUUUACAACUUGGGCCACUUUGACAAUUUGGCCUGAUUUUCAACUAAGUAUGGAUAGAUUUCUUGAUUGGGCUGGGAAUUUGCUUAUUGGGCCUCGCCUUCAAGAAUUUGGGCUUUUGUGACUCGUAUCACCUUGAGAAGGGAAAAGAAGUAGUAAAAGAGUAAGGAAGGAGGAAGAAAGCUCAUCUAAGCGUUUGAUUAUAAGUACAUCAAGAAUUUUUACUUUACCUAAUAAAAUCAAAGUAUAAAAUUAUAUUAGACUAGUUAUAACAUGUUUAUGUGAUUAAUUUAUUUAUGAAUUUUUUUAAUAUUUAAUAAGGAAUUAAUUAGAGAAAAAUGUUGACAUCAAUUGAAUUGCAAUUACAAUGUCAUUUGAUGUUGUGUAUUGAAAGUAUAGAAAAAGGGACUAAAUUGUAAAAUGUAUAAAAUUGAUAUGUGAGUUAGACAUUAUGUUGAGUAAUUAUAUGAAGUGUCUGUAUUAGAAAGACAUAGGUUAGGUUGAUGAGCGGAUUUUUGUUACAUAUUUUAUACCUUAAUUCACUUACAUUUGCACUGUUGUUGAGUGAUUUUUAGUUAAUUUUUCAAGUCAAUAGGUCCUUUUUACUACUAGUUGUAGAAUGAGUUUUAAAUUAUUUUUAGUAUUCUUAUGUUAUUCUUAAUAUUUUUUAUGUUUUUGAAUCAACAAAUUUUUGGAGAUCUUUUUGUAGGCAUUGGACCAAGUUGGAUGGUAGAAAAGUGGAGGCAAAGUGAGGAAAAAGCUGAAAAAUAAAAAAAUAAAAAAAAAUUAUUUUGAAUCAAUUGGGUUUUUGCCUGCCUUUUAAAUAGCAAAUGCAAGGGUGCUCCUUAGUUAAAAAGGAUAGAAAGGUUUUGGAGUUUUGAGUAUAUUUGAGUUGAAGAUUAUUUCGUAUUAAAUCUCUUAAUUUUGUUUAAUGCUUUGGUUGCCAACUAUAAGUUAAUGGGUUAGUAAUCAAAGUAGGAGUAAAACUUGAUCUAGAAUAACAAUGCGGUUUAAUUUUUUGAUUUGUAGAAGGUAGAAAAUGGGUAAUUGAAAACCACAUACGAGAUUGAUAAAUUAUGAAGCUAUUUACGACACUUAAUCUAAAUCAUUAACAAGGGAUUAGAUUGGAUGUAUUAAUUAUUAUUAAUUGAAAGAGUAACAUAGUAAAUUGGGAUUGAAUAGGGUAUUUCCGUGUUCUAUUACUUUGUUUAUUGCAUAUUCAUUCCUUUUACUUAUUAGUAGCCUAGUUAACUAAUGAGUUGACUAAGUCUGUGAGUUCCAUCUUCAAUACAUUUCCUGACAAAUUUAGUUCACUGACAAUGAUACUGUAUCAUCAUUUUGAGGCCUAAUUGAAUAUUUGUUUUUCCACGAAUGAAGUAAGUGUAAAGAGGGGACAGUUAGAUUCAUAGAACGAACACCUCACUCCCAAGUACAAGAGAAAGGAGAGAGGGGAGGCAUCGAAGUAAGAAGGGUCCUA
rnacentral:lncRNA from 1 species